AUUGAACGCUGGCGGCAGGCUUAACACAUGCAAGUCGAGCGGUAGCACAGGAGAGCUUGCUCUCCGGGUGACGAGCGGCGGACGGGUGAGUAAUGUCUGGGAAACUGCCUGAUGGAGGGGGAUAACUACUGGAAACGGUAGCUAAUACCGCAUAACGUCGCAAGACCAAAGAGGGGGACCUUCGGGCCUCUUGCCAUCAGAUGUGCCCAGAUGGGAUUAGCUAGUAGGUGGGGUAACGGCCAACCUAGGCGACGAUCCCUAGCUGGUCUGAGGGGAUGACCAGCCACACGGGAACGGAGACACGGUCCAGACUCCUACGGGAGGCAGCAGUGGGUAAUAUUGCACAAUGGGCGCAAGCCUGAUGCAGCCAUGCCGCGUGUAUGAAGAAGGCCUUCGGGUUGUAAAGUACUUUCAGCGGGGAGGAAGGUGUUGUGGUUAAUAACCUCAGCAAUUGACGUUACCCGCAGAAGAAGCACCGGCUAACUCCGUGCCAGCCGCCGCGGUAAAAC
rnacentral:rRNA from 1 species